rnacentral:misc_RNA from 1 species
GAAAUGCGAUAAGUAAUGUGAAUUGCAGAAUUCCGUGAAUCAUCGAAUCUUUGAACGCACAUUGCGCCCCGUGGUAUUCUGGGGGGCAUGCCUGUUCGAGCGUCAUUUCACCACUCAAGCCUCGCUUGGUAUUGGGCAACGCGGUCCGCCGCCUGCCUCAAAUCGACCGGCUGGGUCUUCUGUCCCCUAAGCGUUGUGGAAACUAUUCGCUAAAGGGGGCUCGGGAGGCUACGCCGUAAAACAAACCCAUUUCUAAGGUUGACCUCGGAUCAGGUAGGGACACCCGCUGAACUUAA